UACGUAGGGGGCAAGCGUUGUCCGGAAUCAUUGGGCGUAAAGCGCGCGUAGGCGGCCCGAUAAGUCUGCUGUGAAAGUCCAGGGCUCAACCCUGGAAUGCCGGUGGAUACUGUCGGGCUAGAGUUCGGAAGAGGCAAGUGGAAUUCCUGGUGUAGCGGUGGAAUGCGCAGAUAUCAGGAGGAACACCUAUUGCGAAGGCAGCUCGCUGGGACGUAACUGACGCUGAGACGCGAAAGCGUGGGGAGCAAACAGG
rnacentral:rRNA from 1 species